rnacentral:rRNA from 1 species
UAUUAAUUUUUAUUUUUAUUUAAUUAGUUAUUAAAAAUAAUUGUAUAAAGUUAAGUUUUAGUAGUUUAUAAAGAAAAAAUAAUUUAAAUAAUAUUUGAUUAGUAUCGUGAGAGAAAAUUGAAAUAAAUGAAAAAUUUUUAUUAUAAAAGAAAAUAUUUAUUGUACCUUGUGUAUCAGGGUUUUUUAAAUAAAAAAUAAAAUUUUAUUUUUCUCGAUUUUAAAAGAGCUAAUUAAGUAAAAAAAUUAUUGUAUCAUAAUUAUUUUUAAUGCUUAAUUAGAAAUGAAAUGUUAUUCGUUUUUAAAGGUAUCUAGUUUCUUUAGAAAUAAAUUUAAUUUACAAUUUUAAAAUUUAAUAGACUUUUUAAAAAGUUUAUUAAUUAUAAAAUUGAAUAUUUAAGGGGAUAAGCUCUUAAGUAAAAUAUUAUAAAUAUAAAUAUAUGUAAUAAAUAUAUGCUUAGAAUUAGCAAUUAUUAAAAAGUUUGUUAUAAAUUAUUUUAUAAAAAAAUUAUUUAUUUAAUUUUAAUUUUUUAUAAAGACAUUCCUUUAAAUUUAUGAUAGGAAGGGAUAAUGAAAAAAUUAGUAUACUAUGUUGUUUAUAUAAUUAUAAAUGAAAAGUUUAUGUAAAGAACUCGGCAAAAUAGUACCCGCCUGUUUAACAAAAACAUGUCUUUUUGAAUUCUAUAUAAAGUCUGACCUGCCCACUGAAAUUUGAAUGGCCGCAGUACACUAACUGUGCAAAGGUAGCAUAAUAAUUAGUCUUUUAAUUGAAGGCUUGUAUGAACGGUUGGACGAGGUAUUAACUGUUUCAUUUAAAUUUAAACUAGAAUUUUAUUUUUUAGUCAAAAAGCUAAAAUUUUUUUAAAAGACGAGAAGACCCUAUAAAGCUUUAUAUUUAUUUAAUUUUGUUUUAUUAGAUAAGUCUUUAUAAAAUUAAUUUAAAUAUUUUAUUGGGGUGAUAUUAAAAUUUUUUAAACUUUUAAUUUAUUAAAUCAUUAAUUUAUGAUAAAAUGAUCCGAUAUUUUCGAUUAAAAAUUUAAGUUACUUUAGGGAUAACAGCGUAAUUUUUUUGGAGAGUUCAUAUCGAUAAAAAAGAUUGCGACCUCGAUGUUGGAUUAAGGAAUAAGUUUAGGCGCAGCAGUUUAAAUAAUAAGUCUGUUCGACUUUUAAACCCUUACAUGAUCUGAGUUCAGACCGGCGUGAGCCAGGUUGGUUUCUAUCUUUAAAAAUAUUUUUCGAUUUAGUACGAAAGGACCAGUCGAAAGUUUUAUAAAAUUUUAAAUUGAAUAUUAUUAAU